ACGGAAGGCAGCAGUGGGGAAUAUUGCACAAUGGGGGAAACCCUGAUGCAGCAACGCCGCGUGAGUGAUAACGGUCUUCGGAUUGUAAAGCUCUGUCUUUGGGGACGAUAAUGACGGUACCCAAGGAGGAAGCCACGGCUAACUACGUGCCAGCAGCCGCGGUAAUACGUAGGUGGCGAGCGUUGUCCGGAUUUACUGGGCGUAAAGGGAGCGUAGGCGGAUUCUUAAGUGGGAUGUGAAAUACCCGGGCUUAACCUGGGUGCUGCAUUCCAAACUGGGAAUCUAGAGUGCAGGAGGGGAGAGUGGAAUUCCUAGUGUAGCGGUGAAAUGCGUAGAGAUUAGGAAGAACACCAGUGGCGAAGGCGACUCUCUGGACUGUAACUGACGCUGAGGCUCGAAAGCGUGGGAGCAAACAGGAUUAGAUACCCUGGUA
rnacentral:rRNA from 1 species